UGGGGAAUCUUCCGCAAUGGACGAAAGUCUGACGGAGCAACGCCGCGUGAGUGACGAAGGUUUUCGGAUUGUAAAACUCUGUCUUUUGGGACGAACGGUUCAUAUGUAAAUAAUGUAUGAAAUUGACGGUACCGAAGGAGGAAGCCCCGGCUAACUACGUGCCAGCAGCCGCGGUAAUACGUAGGGGGCAAGCGUUGUCCGGAAUUAUUGGGCGUAAAGAGCGCGCAGGCGGUUUUGUAAGUCCACCGUGAAAGCUUACGGCUCAACCGUAACGGGUCGGUGGAUACUGCAAGACUUGAGGGCAGGAGAGGAAAGUGGAAUUCCCAGUGUAGCGGUGAAAUGCGUAGAUAUUGGGAGGAACACCAGUGGCGAAGGCGACUUUCUGGACUGUUACUGACGCUGAGGCGCGAAAGCUGGGGAAGUGAACG
rnacentral:rRNA from 1 species